GUCGAACGGUGAAGCAGAGCUUGCUCUGUGGAUCAGUGGCGAACGGGUGAGUAACACGUGAGCAAUCUGCCCCUGACUCUGGGAUAAGCGCUGGAAACGGCGUCUAAUACCGGAUACGAGCUGCGAAGGCAUCUUCAGCAGCUGGAAAGAAUUUCGGUCAGGGAUGAGCUCGCGGCCUAUCAGCUUGUUGGUGAGGUAACGGCUCACCAAGGCGUCGACGGGUAGCCGGCCUGAGAGGGUGACCGGCCACACUGGGACUGAGACACGGCCCAGACUCCUACGGGAGGCAGCAGUGGGGAAUAUUGCACAAUGGGCGAAAGCCUGAUGCAGCAACGCCGCGUGAGGGACGACGGCCUUCGGGUUGUAAACCUCUUUUAGCAGGAAAGAAGCGAAAGUGACGGUACCUGCAGAAAAAGCCGCCGGCUAACUACGUGCCAGCAGCCGCGGUAAUACGUAGGGCGCAAGCGUUAUCCGGAAUUAUUGGGCGUAAAGAGCUCGUAGGCGGUCUGUCGCGUCUGCUGUGAAAACCCGAGGCUCAACCUCGGGCCUGCAGUGGGUACGGGCAGACUAGAGUGCGGUAGGGGAGAUUGGAAUUCCUGGUGUAGCGGUGGAAUGCGCAGAUAUCAGGAGGAACACCGAUGGCGAAGGCAGAUCUCUGGGCCGUAACUGACGCUGAGGAGCGAAAGGGUGGGGAGCAAACAGGCUUAGAUACCCUGGUAGUCCACCCCGUAAACGUUGGGAACUAGUUGUGGGGUCCAUUCCACGGAUUCCGUGACGCAGCUAACGCAUUAAGUUCCCCGCCUGGGGAGUACGGCCGCAAGGCUAAAACUCAAAGGAAUUGACGGGGACCCGCACAAGCGGCGGAGCAUGCGGAUUAAUUCGAUGCAACGCGAAGAACCUUACCAAGGCUUGACAUAUACGAGAACGGGCCAGAAAUGGUCAACUCUUUGGACACUCGUAAACAGGUGGUGCAUGGUUGUCGUCAGCUCGUGUCGUGAGAUGUUGGGUUAAGUCCCGCAACGAGCGCAACCCUCGUUCUAUGUUGCCAGCACGUAAUGGUGGGAACUCAUGGGAUACUGCCGGGGUCAACUCGGAGGAAGGUGGGGAUGACGUCAAAUCAUCAUGCCCCUUAUGUCUUGGGCUUCACGCAUGCUACAAUGGCCGGUACAAAGGGCUGCAAUACCGCGAGGUGGAGCGAAUCCCAAAAAGCCGGUCCCAGUUCGGAUUGAGGUCUGCAACUCGACCUCAUGAAGUCGGAGUCGCUAGUAAUCGCAGAUCAGCAACGCUGCGGUGAAUACGUUCCCGGGUCUUGUACACACCGCCCGUCAAGUCAUGAAAGUCGGUAACACCUGAAGCCGGUGGCCCAACCCUGUGGAGGGAGCCGUCG
rnacentral:rRNA from 1 species